rnacentral:rRNA from 1 species
AUUGAACGCUGGCGGCAGGCCUAACACAUGCAAGUCGAGCGGAUGAAGGGAGCUUGCUCCUGGAUUCAGCGGCGGACGGGUGAGUAAUGCCUAGGAAUCUGCCUGGUAGUGGGGGAUAACGUCCGGAAACGGGCGCUAAUACCGCAUACGUCCUGAGGGAGAAAGUGGGGGAUCUUCGGACCUCACGCUAUCAGAUGAGCCUAGGUCGGAUUAGCUAGUUGGUGGGGUAACGGCCUACCAAGGCGACGAUCCGUAACUGGUCUGAGAGGAUGAUCAGGCACCCUGGAAGUGAGACACGGUCCAGACUCCUACGGGAGGCAGCAGUGGGGAAUAUUGGACAAUGGGCGAAAGCCUGAUCCAGCCAUGCCGCGUGUGUGAAGAAGGUCUUCGGAUUGGAAAGCACUUUAAGUUGGGAGGAAGGGCAGUAAGUUAAUACCUUGCUGUUUUGACGUUACCAACAGAAUAAGCACCGGCUAACUUCGUG